rnacentral:rRNA from 1 species
AAAUUGAAGAGUUUGAUCAUGGCUCAGAUUGAACGCUGGCGGCAGGCCUAACACAUGCAAGUCGAACGGUAACAGGAAKCAGCUUGCUGMUUUGCUGACGAGUGGCGGACGGGUGAGUAAUGUCUGGGAAACUGCCUGAUGGAGGGGGAUAACUACUGGAAACGGUAGCUAAUACCGCAUAACGUCGCAAGACCAAAGAGGGGGACCUUCGGGCCUCUUGCCAUCGGAUGUGCCCAGAUGGGAUUAGCUAGUAGGUGGGGUAAAGGCUCACCUAGGCGACGAUCCCUAGCUGGUCUG